GUGGGGGAUAUUGCACAAUGGGGGAAACCCUGAUGCAGCGACGCCGCGUGGGUGAAGAAGUAUUUCGGUAUGUAAAGCCCUAUCAGCAGGGAAGAAAGAAGACGGUACCUGACUAAGAAGCCCCGGCUAACUACGUGCCAGCAGCCGCGGUAAUACGUAGGGGGCGAGCGUUAUCCGGAUUCACUGGGUGUAAAGGGAGCGUAGACGGCCGUGCAAGCCAGGAGUGAAAGCCCGGGGCCCAACCCCGGGACUGCUCUUGGAACUGUGCGGCUAGAGUGCGGGAGGGGCAGGCGGAAUUCCUGGUGUAGCGGUGAAAUGCGUAGAUAUCAGGAGGAACACCGGCGGCGAAGGCGGCCUGCUGGACCGCGACUGACGUUGAGGCUCGAAAGCGUGGGGAGCGAACAGGAUUAGAAACCCUAGUAGUCC
rnacentral:rRNA from 1 species